ensembl:lncRNA
CGCGGAGCAAGUGCAACAACAAGUUAAGCGGUCCGCUCCGUUUCGCCAGAUUCUGAUUCUCCGCCAAGUUGAGCCUACACGUCAGUGGAGAACCUGUACUGGUGACCGGACGUGUGCGGCGCGCGUCAGGCGGUUCCCGGAUGCGCCGAACAGAAACAUGGAACGGGUAGUGGUGGAAGUGCCGACCAACAACGGGUUUUCUCUCGCUGGCCACUCGACGACCCCCCGAAAGCGGCAGGUGCGCUUCUCAGCCCGCCAUGACAUCAUCCUGCUGCGGGAGGUGGUCGCCCGGAACCCCUUUGCCUCCAAAGAGCCGGCAUGACAAAUACAAUGUAUUAUUAUUAUUAUUAUUAUUAUUAUUAUAAAUAUGGACACUUCAAAAUAUCUGUCUGUUAUAUCUGGCGCCA